GUUGGCUGCUGUGAGGACAAGGAAGAGUCAGUGCUUAGAGGAGCUGCUUACAAGAAACAUCAAGGAGGAUUCCAGAGUUUGUGGAUGCACCUGCAAACACCUGAGGGGCUGCUCUGACUUGCUGGUGGUUCAUGGAUGGCUCCAGGGCUGAGCUCAGUCCUCCUCCAUCCCUGACAAUGGCUGAGGAGGGACACAGCAUUCAGAUCUCCCUGUGAAUCCUUCCCUGUCACUCACCUGGAAAGUCUGGCAUCAUCCUCAUGGCAUCCCUGGCUGGUUCCAUCCUCUGCACGGGCUGGAGAGAGGCGAGGCCGUUUCUUCCUGGAGAAGUAGCAGAAUCAGCAGCCAGCGACAGGAACGCAUUUGUCCCCUCCAGACUGAGCAAAGUCAAAGUGGAAACUACAAACAAAGGUGUUUAUGAACUUCUGAGGGCUCCUGUGAGUGAUCUUGGGCUUCCACCAGGGCUGGAAUAGCAGCUCAGUGAGGGUUUGUUUUCCCUCCUGCUGCAGCCCCAUUUCCUUCCCUCUCGGUCUUCCUUUCUCCCCCUUUUUAAGCCAGGGAUGUGGUUUUGUGCUGUCAUUUGUCCAAGGUUGCUGGCUGUUGGAGACACCAUGUCCUGUGGUGAGGGGCAGAGAAGGGGCCAAGGAUCAAAUAUAUCUGUACCCCCAAAACUGUGUGCAUGAACCUGCCUUUAAUUGUGGUGGGGGGAAGUUUUCUGCUGGGCCUUUUGCUUGUUUAAGGGACUCUGGCCCAUAUCUCACUCCUAAAGUGUUCCUAAACCACUCACACUCCACGUGACCCCUGGGCCUCAGCGCUGUGGGAUGAGGGAUUGGGCUGGACCCAUUAAAUUAACCCUGGGCAGGGCUCCAGCUACAGGAGAUUUUCUUUGGCUCUCAGAAGAAGCUGCACUUGUGCUCUUUGUGCUUACAAAGGACUCUGUGCAUGAUUAUGAGGUCUUCAUCCCCUCCUUCUGCUCUCUGCAGGCCUUGGACCUGUUGCUUUCUGCUUUUGGGUCUUUUGUUCUCCAGGCCCAGCAUCCAUCCACCCAAACUCCUGUAACUCUCUGGAUUUCACAGAAAUAAAACUUAUGGGAUGUGC